CCUACGGGCGGCAGCAGUGGGGAAUAUUGGACAAUGGGGGGAACCCUGAUCCAGCCAUGCCGCGUGUGUGAAGAAGGCCCUCGGGGUGUAAAGCACUUUCAGUGAGGAAGAACGCCUGGUGGUUAAUACCCAUCAGGAAAGACAUCACUCACAGAAGAAGCACCGGCUAACUCCGUGCCAGCAGCCGCGGUAAUACGGAGGGUGCGAGCGUUAAUCGGAAUUACUGGGCGUAAAGCGCGCGUAGGUGGCUUGAUAAGCCGGUUGUGAAAGCCCCGGGCUCAACCUGGGAACGGCAUCCGGAACUGUCGAGCUAGAGUGCAGGAGAGGAAGGUAGAAUUCCCGGUGUAGCGGUGAAAUGCGUAGAGAUCGGGAGGAAUACCAGUGGCGAAGGCGGCCUUCUGGACUGACACUGACACUGAGGUGCGAAAGCGUGGGUAGCAAACAGGAUUAGAUACCCCAGUAGUC
rnacentral:rRNA from 1 species